CCUACGGGGGGCAGCAGUGGGGAAUAUUGCACAAUGGGGGAAACCCUGAUGCAGCGACGCCGCGUGAGUGAAGAAGUAUUUCGGUACGUAAAGCUCUAUCAGCAGGGAAGAAAAUGACGGUACCUGACUAAGAAGCCCCGGCUAACUACGUGCCAGCAGCCGCGGUAAUACGUAGGGGGCAAGCGUUAUACGGAUUUACUGGGUGUAAAGGGAGCGUAGACGGCAGCGCAAGUCUGGAGUGAAAUCCCAUGGCUUAACCAUGGAACUGCUUUGGAAACUGUGCAGCUAGAGUGCAGGAGAGGUAAGCGGAAUUCGUAGUGUAGCGGUGAAAUGCGUAGAUAUUAGGAGGAACACCAGUGGCGAAGGCGGCUUACUGGACUGUAACUGACGUUGAGGCUCGAAAGCGUGGGGAGCAAACAGGAUUAGAUACCCCGGUAGUC
rnacentral:rRNA from 1 species